CUAGCGGCAGGCUUAAUACAUGCAAGUCGAGGGGCAGCAGGGGUGUAGCAAUACACUCGCUGGCGACCGGCAAACGGGUGCGGAACACGUACACAACUUACCCAAAACUGGUGAAUAGCCUUCCGAAAGGAAGAUUAAUACACCGUAACCUAUUAGAGUGGCAUCACUUUAUUAGUAUAGCUCCGGCGGUUUUGGAUGGGUGUGCGGCUGAUUAGAUAGUUGGCGGGGUAACGGCCCACCAAGUCUGCGAUCAGUAACUGGUGUGAGAGCACGACCAGUCACACGGGCACUGAGACACGGGCCCGACUCCUACGGGAGGCAGCAGUAAGGAAUAUUGGUCAAUGGAGGCAACUCUGAACCAGCCAUGCCGCGUGAAGGAUGAAGGUCCUCUGGAUUGUAAACUUCUUUUAUGUGGGAAGAAAUGCAUUCUUUAUAGAGUGUUUGACGGUACCAUAGGAAUAAGCACCGGCUAACUCCGUGCCAGCAGCCGCGGUAAUACGGAGGGUGCGAGCGUUAUCCGGAUUCACUGGGUUUAAAGGGUGCGUAGGUGGGGAAGUAAGUCAGUGGUGAAAUCUCCGUGCUUAACAUGGAAACUGCCAUUGAUACUAUUUUACUUGAAUUUUCCGGAGGUUAGCGGAAUAUGUCAUGUAGCGGUGAAAUGCUUAGAUAUGACAUAGAACACCAAUUGCGAAGGCAGCUAACUACAGGGAUAUUGACACUGAGGCACGAAAGCGUGGGGAUCAAACAGGAUUAGAUACCCCAGUAGUCC
rnacentral:rRNA from 1 species